rnacentral:lncRNA from 1 species
AAGUCCCUUCCUCCACUAGGGGUUAGGGAGUGAUGUGCCAAAAGGCUUCUCAGGACUGGGCCCGUUUACCACUAGGGGAGGUGAGGCCACUUCCCCUUAGGGAGCCUUACGGGUGGUUAAUAAUUCCUUUGUGCACAAACAUCAGUUGGACUCCGCUCAAAGGCAGCAUCCAAAUACACAUUGUUCCUGAGUUACGUUAUGCAAAUAUUAGAUUCUUCUGAUGAGAAUCAGCAAAUGGUUGGCAACUGGCAAGCAGAAGAAAGCUCCUUUCCAAGAGUGCUCCAGGGAGGCAUAAAGCAAAACGACACAGCAUGAAGAUGGGGAGAGCCCAGGAGCACCAAGGAAGCGCCCACCUCCAUCCAGCCAGCCUUUCUUCCCCUCAGGGUGGGCUAUGGGGCAGAAAUCCACGCCAGAGUGAGACUUCCCAGAAGAGCUGCAAAAUGCACCCCAAAACCAGAUCCCCGGUGGAGACGCCAACUGUCAGUCCAGCAUCACUCACCAGCUUCCUGGAGUAGUGCGAUGUCUGAGGUAUGGGCUGGGGGCUGAUAGGAGAGAGCAAGGUUCACCCAGGACCUAGGCACAGCCAGCUGGAGGGAGAUCAUCCAGGCCUGGAUUGUUCUGGAAACCUAAUCAGCACCCCUGGAACUCCCUGCAGGCUGCCUGCCUCCCCCUCCACCAGCAGCAACGCAGCCAGGAUCUCACACACAGAGUCUCCAGGGCCAGGCACGGUGGCUCACUCACGCCUAUAAUCCCAGCAAUUUGCGAGGCCAAGACAGGUGGAUCACGAGGUAAAGAGAUCAAGACCAUCCUGGCCAACAUGGCGAAACCCUGUCUCUACUAAAAAUACAAAAAUCAGCUGCACAUGGUGGCGCACACCUGUAGUCUCAGGAACUCGGGAGGCUGAGGCAGGAGAAUCACUUGAACCCGGGAGGCAGGGGUUGCAGUGAGCCAAGAUUAAACCACUGCACUCCAGCCUGGUGACAGAGUGAGACUCCAUCUCAAAAAAAAAAAAAAAAAAACUUCAGAAGCCUGACAUCUUUAUGCCUUGUACAAUUCCCUUAAAUGUCCUCAACUACCUUGCAAUUACCCAAAACUACCCCUUCCUAAUACGACAUGUCUGUGCAUUUUCCCGAGACCACUGCAAAAUCCCCCAGAGAUCCCUACGGUGAUUUGAAGGGAUUAGAUCAGUGGUUCUCAAGUGGGGGCUAUGUUGUUCCCCAAGGGACUUCUGGCAACAUCUGAAGACAUUUUUGAUUGUCAUGACUGGGUGGUGCUGUUAGCAUUUAGUGAACAGAGGCCAGGGAUGAUGAUAAACAUCAUACAAUAUGCAGGACAGGCCCUGACUACAAACAUUAUCUGUCCCAAAGUGUCACUGGUGUCAAGGUUAAGAAACCCUGGAUUAGAUCGAGGAUAAGACUUUUGCUCUGUCUAUUGUCGGGCAAACUGCUCUGCUUCCUUUGAGUUCUGACAACUGUUCUGGCAAGCUGUCUUCCACAGCUGCCAAGGGUUACAGCUAAAUCCUAUUGGCCCAAAUCGUGAUCUAGGAAGGAGCCCCCACAGUGGUGGAAGAGAUGGCACAGAUGUCAGUCUUCACGAGGAAAGUAAUAGAACUUUCUCAAUUUCAUGGGAGAAGACAAGAUUGACAGACUGCAUGACUUUUCCCUUCUCCAACGUCACUAGAAAAGAAAGUGACAGCAAACAUAUCAAGCAGGUUGAAGCUUCAGCUCUCAUUAGCUCUCAGGGGCCCUGAACUUUCACAGAUGUGUUUGCACAUCUGCCCUGGAAGCCACAGCAGCCCAGGAAAAUACCCCAUGCCAAAUGGGCUGUCCCUCAGAGAUUUCAGAUCUGCCCCAACACAGCUGCCUGAGUGUAGGAAGUCAUUUUCAUCACCGUUGAUGGGCUACUUUCUCCAUGGGAAGUAGCAACUGGGCUGGAACUACCACAGGAAGAUACCUUCCCACACAGACACCUUUUAGAGAAUGGAGACUCCUGAAGGUAAUGGGAGACCUCGGACAGAAAACAAGGGGACUGAUUCAGGACCAAGGACAGAACAUGAGGUGUAGCAGACUCAAAUCCAGGCCAGAAACAUCUCCUGUGAAAUUAGUUUCCUUGGGCUAUUGUUGCAAAGUACCACCAACUGGGUGGCUUAAAACAAGAUAAAUUUGUCUCACAUUCCUAGAGUGGACAAAGCUGAAAUCAAGGUAUCAGUAGGGCCACGCUCCCUCUGAAGGCACUAGGGGAGGGUCUGUUCCAGACCUCUCUCCUAGCUUCUGGUGGCAUGCAGCCUACCUCCAGCCUUCACAUGGCGUCUGCCCCAGCCUAACUCCAGCCUUCGUGUGGCUUCUGGCCCAGCCUAACUCUGGCCUUCGCGCGGGAUCUGCUCCAGCCUAACUCCGGCCUUCAUGCGGCGUCCGCCCCACACAUGUGUGCAUCUCUUCACAUGGCAUUCUUUUUACAAGGACACCAGUCGUAUUGAAAUAGGGGCCUACCCUGCUCCAGUAUGAGCGCUUCUUAACUGAUGAUAUCUACAACAAUCCUAUUUCCAUGUAAGGUCACCUUCUGAGGUACUGGGGGUUAGGGUUUCAAAGUAUGAAUUUGGAAGAAGAUCACAAUUCAGCCCAUAUACAACUUCUAAGUUACUACUAUUCUUAUAAGAAAUGCCAAGGUUCUCAUCCAGGCCUAAGGAAGUGGUUUCACAAGGAGGCAACAUCCCAAGCAGCUGUGUGAGCCAGGUAUUACGAACUGAGGACCCUGAGCACUGAUGCGGCGGUCAAAUCCAACCUCCUUAAACCCAUUUAUUUUUAUUCUCUUUUCCUAAGACCUGGCCUCUGAUUCCUAGUGUAAGAUGACCAUCAUUCAGACUAUAAAAGUACAGCACACUAUUUAUCUGAAGUUCACACUUGAAUCCAUCUUCAUUCUCUGAAACACAGUCAUGAACCUAGAGAAACAGCAGACCAUAUUGGGCUGACCAGCAGUUGACCACCAACUUCUUCUCUAGAAUGGUAUGGGAUGUAAUGUGGAUCACUUCUCAGUGACAUCUCAGUUAGGGACAAGGGAGCUGGGAUAUUAACCAACCUCCUGCCAUCAGUCAUUGGUUGAGGGCUGAGAAGGUUCAAGCAGCCAGAGAAUAGAGUUGCAGGUGUCUGUAGUUGGAAGCCAUCAGGUUGGCAAUGCACAAGAAUGGUGAUUGCCAAGGGAAUAUGGGCAGAGCACCAAUGGGGUCUGCUAACAGCCCUUGCCCCAGCCUAAUCCAUUCUGAAAGGAAAGAAAAUAGGGUGGUGACAGAGAGAAACACAGAGGCCUUCUAAGAUGGGUGGUGUGGCUUGUCAACUCCACUCUUCCUCGGCCUUCCCCCCCACCUCCCUCUGUCCCUGCCCUACUGGACUUGUAAGGAACUGUCAUGGUGAUGAACCCAGUAAGUGGAGCUUUCUAUUAACACAUUUUACCUGUUGCCCCAGGUAUGCCCAACCACAGCUCAACCAACCAAAGGCCCUCACUUUCUUUGUAUACCCACAGACCCUUUUAUCCUUAAAGAGCGCUCUUCUGUGUGUGGGUUGGUGGUUGUUGUUUUAAUUUGAAAUUAAAAUGUCAUUUUGCUGAUUAGGGAAAUCAAACAAGGGAUUGUGCAGCUACCAAGUCUACCAUCAGAAGCCCCACCCCAUCCUCACUGAAGGGGAGAAAAAUGACCCUUCCUCUUUUCUACAUCCAGUUAAAGUCAAA